GCCAGGCAUUGUGACGUAUCCCUGUUAUCCCAGUUACUGGGGAGGCUGAGGUAAAAGGAUUGCUUGAGCCCAGGAGCUGGAGGCCAACCUAGGCACUAUAGCAAGAUAUUUUCUCAA
rnacentral:sRNA from 1 species